rnacentral:pre_miRNA from 1 species
GGGGGGAGCACCGGAUCCUGGGCUGUGUCCCCCAGUGCCCUGGGCUCCGGGGCCUGCACCGCUGGAAUCACUCCCGGGCGGUGCAGCCCCCU